rnacentral:rRNA from 1 species
CUCCUACGGGAGGCAGCAAUUAGGAAUCUUGCACAAUGGGCGAAAGCCUGAUGCAGCGACGUCGCGUGAGGGAUGAAGUCUUUCGGGACGUAAACCUCUUUUAUCGGGGAAGAAACAAAUGACGGUACCCGGUGAAUAAGCCCCGGCUAACUACGUGCCAGCCGCCGCGGUAAU